CUUCCCCGGUUCUCCCCGUCCUUCUAUAGCCGAGGAUCAGAAGAAACCAUUCAAAGAUUGUUUUGAGCUCCAAGGGGUCAAUCGGUCAGCUCAUAGAUGUUUUCUUUUUCCCUACUUUGCUUCGUACGGAUAGGAGAAACUAUUCAUAAUCAUAGUUGGUCAUUCAAGAUCCUGGACAGAAGUUUUCUUUUUUCCAUACUUUGCUUCAUACGGAUAGGAGAAACUAUUCAUAAUCAUAGUUGGUCAUUCAAGAUCCUGGACAGAAGUUUAUUCAUCUAUCUAUGCUUUCUAAUUCGCCAUGUUUGUGUUGCAGUCAGAACACUCUAAUUGGUCAUCUUCAUAUGGACAUUGCAGGUGUUCAACAAAAUAUUCAAGUGGCACAACGUAUAUGAUUCUCAUGUUGUUGCCUGCUGACAUUGCAGGUGUUCAACACACUAUUUCAAGUGGCCAAACGUAUUUUGCUUCUCAUAUUGUUCCAGGCUGGUAUAAAAGGGUUAGGAUGCAUCAAUUACCUCUGGCUUACUUCAAUCAAUAUAUGUGACCAUCAAACUCAAGGCCUGACCUGUGAUUUCACCAAAACGCCAAGACCAUACUCAUCUUUUUUACAUUUUGAAUUGUAUUAUCUGUCGGAAAAAAAUCUGUUAGAAUAUAUGUAUAACUCAAAAUGGUCUUCAUUUAGUAACACAGUAAUUUAUAUUCAUCAAGUAGGCAUUAUGAAAUGAUUUUCCCUCCACUUAUGGUUGAUAUUCUAUAAUUUGUACUUUAUAUAUUUUAUUCCGUAGAAGUGAUGCUCAAAUUUCCGCAGCAACGCGCGGGGUAUCCACUAGUUGAUUAAGGAAAAUCAAGCCAGCUUUGUCCGUGUGAGGUACUCCCGUCGUGAUCGCAUCCGAAGCAGAUCGGGCCAGUUUUGCAAGAGAUCAUCAUCACGAGCAGCUCGACUCAAGUUCCAGAACGGCUCCUUGGCGUUGACCUCACCGACAAGCACCUUCAGAACGGACGGAUGCUAACGAGGGAGCAAGGACAGCCUGGUGUGGUGGAGGCGGGCGACCUGGGCCGGCCGCGGCCGUGAGUCGGCUUGGGGCUAGGAAGAGAAAAGAAAAGCCAGACCGUCAUGGGCCGUGAGGAAUUCUAAGGAGACUUUGGGCCUAGAAAAAACUCUUUGGCCUGUUUGUGACACCAGCCAGCCACCUAUUGCAAUUUAAUAGUAAAGAAAGAUAUACACUUUCCCUAACAAAUUGCAAUUGGUAAACAACUAUUUUUUACACCGCCCCAUACUCCGAUGUCUUCCGAAUCUCGGCACCGCUCUAUGUCGUUGGUCUCUUGUAAUAGAGUUUUCAUUUUAGUCC